GAUGAACGCUGGCGGCGUGCCUAAUACAUGCAAGUCGAGCGAACAGACGAGGAGCUUGCUCCUUUGACGUUAGCGGCGGACGGGUGAGUAACACGUAGGUAACCUACCUAUAAGACUGGGAUAACUUCGGGAAACCGGAGCUAAUACCGGAUAAUAUUUCGAACCGCAUGGUUCGAUAGUGAAAGAUGGCUUUGCUAUCACUUAUAGAUGGACCUGCGCCGUAUUAGCUAGUUGGUAAGGUAACGGCUUACCAAGGCAACGAUACGUAGCCGACCUGAGAGGGUGAUCGGCCACACUGGAACUGAGACACGGUCCAGACUCCUACGGGAGGCAGCAGUAGGGAAUCUUCCGCAAUGGGCGAAAGCCUGACGGAGCAACGCCGCGUGAGUGAUGAAGGUCUUCGGAUCGUAAAACUCUGUUAUUAGGGAAGAACAAACGUGUAAGUAACUGUGCACGUCUUGACGGUACCUAAUCAGAAAGCCACGGCUAACUACGCG
rnacentral:rRNA from 1 species